UUAUUUAUAAGAAAAAUAUAGUUUGUUUUUUUUUUACUUAAUUAGCUUAAUUUUGUAGCUUUUAAUUCUUAUAUUCUUAACAAAUAUGAGUAUUUAUGCUAAUAGCAUAAAUCUUGAGAGAAAAAAAUUUAAUUUAAUCGCCGAAUUUUUGAUCCCGAAUUUUUAAUUGGUGAACGUAUAAUAUCCGUAUAAAUCACGUAUCUGAAUAAUUAUCGAAUCCGUUUUUUAACCGUAUUUUUCAAUGAAUUUAAAAAUUAAAAGACGAAUUUUAUCCGAAUUAUACCCGUACCGAAUUUUUGCCGAAUCCGAAUUAACUAACUAUUGUAAACUAGCUCAAAUAUUUUCUUUU
rnacentral:lncRNA from 1 species